rnacentral:rRNA from 1 species
UGCAGUCGAACGAACUCUGGUAUUGAUUGGUGCUUGCAUCAUGAUUUACAUUUGAGUGAGUGGCGAACUGGUGAGUAACACGUGGGAAACCUGCCCAGAAGCGGGGGAUAACACCUGGAAACAGAUGCUAAUACCGCAUAACAACUUGGACCGCAUGGUCCGAGUUUGAAAGAUGGCUUCGGCUAUCACUUUUGGAUGGUCCCGCGGCGUAUUAGCUAGAUGGUGGGGUAACGGCUCACCAUGGCAAUGAUACGUAGCCGACCUGAGAGGGUAAUCGGCCACAUUGGGACUGAGACACGGCCCAAACUCCUACGGGAGGCAGCAGUAGGGAAUCUUCCACAAUGGACGAAAGUCUGAUGGAGCAACGCCGCGUGAGUGAAGAAGGGUUUCGGCUCGUAAAACUCUGUUGUUAAAGAAGAACAUAUCUGAGAGUAACUGUUCAGGUAUUGACGGUAUUUAACCAGAAAGCCACGGCUAACUACGUGCCAGCAGCCGCGGUAAUACGUAGGUGGCAAGCGUUGUCCGGAUUUAUUGGGCGUAAAGCGAGCGCAGGCGGUUUUUUAAGUCUGAUGUGAAAGCCUUCGGCUCAACCGAAGAAGUGCAUCGGAAACUGGGAAACUUGAGUGCAGAAGAGGACAGUGGAACUCCAUGUGUAGCGGUGAAAUGCGUAGAUAUAUGGAAGAACACCAGUGGCGAAGGCGGCUGUCUGGUCUGUAACUGACGCUGAGGCUCGAAAGUAUGGGUAGCAAACAGGAUUAGAUACCCUGGUAGUCCAUACCGUAAACGAUGAAUGCUAAGUGUUGGAGGGUUUCCGCCCUUCAGUGCUGCAGCUAACGCAUUAAGCAUUCCGCCUGGGGAGUACGGCCGCAAGCU